rnacentral:lncRNA from 1 species
GAGCCAUCCUCCCACCUCAGCCUCCCAAAGUGCUGGGAUUACAUGCAUGAGCCACCACAUCCAGCCUACCUAAAAUAUUGAAUGCUGUUAAUAAAUCUCCUGAGGCCAGCAUAAGAAGGUGAUGGGCAAAACUAAUGCAGUAGGAGCUGAAAUCGACCAGGGGGUUCUUAUCCAACAGACAGCAGCAAAACUCUUUGUGUAUCUGCGUUCCUUUCAACAAGCGUGACUUCCUCAAUGGCAUCAUUCGUGAGCGUAACACAGAGCUCAGCAAUAACGUUUCUUCACUAACCCUACCAGGGUUUCAGUUGUGCAAUUUCACCAUUAGCAAAGCUUUUUGCUGAAAUCUGGCUUUUCAAAGGGAGAGUAUCCAGAAACAGAAGAUGCUGAUCUGGGAGGCUCUUCCUAAUAGAACUGCUGCUUCAGUUUAACUUGAAAAAGCCCACACCCAGUUCCUAAUGACAAACAUCUGAACACCGGGUC